UACGUAGGGGGCGAGCGUUGUCCGGAUUUACUGGGCGUAAAGCGCGUGUAGGCGGUCGGCCAAGUCCGGGGUGAAAGGCGGGGGCUCAACCCCCGAACUGCGCUGGAAACUGGCUGGCUUGAGUGUCGGAGAGGGGAGUGGAAUUCUCGGUGUAGCGGUGAAAUGCGUAGAGAUCGAGAGGAACACCCGUGGCGAAGGCGGCUCCCUGGCCGAACACUGACGCUGAGACGCGAAAGCGCGGGGAGCGAACGGGAUUAGAUACCCCGGUAGUCCGCGCCGUAAACGAUGGUCACUAGGUGUCCGCGGUAUCGACCCCGCGGGUGCCGCAGCUAACGCAGUAAGUGACCCGCCUGGGGAGUACGGCCGCAAGGUUGAA
rnacentral:rRNA from 1 species